rnacentral:lncRNA from 1 species
CUGCAUCAUCUCAAACACAAGCAAAUAUAAACUAUGAGAUAAAAACUUAUUAGUUAAUAAAAUAGAUAAAAGGAUCAUUAGGUCCGUCAAUAAAACAAUAGAGUCCAAACUCAAUUUCAGUCAAUAAAACCAUAAAAACAAUAGGUCAAACAUUUUAAGUAGCAUUCAUAUAUAACCAAACCAGUUUAGGCUGCAUCGAAAUCUUAUAAGCUAUGAAUAAUCAAUAAAGAAAUGCAUUGUUGUAUCCUUUUUCUCCUUGGUUUUCUUUGUAUGUGGUGAUCUUUAUUUACAGCAAUCACCACUAAAGAAAAAUUGAUGGGGAUGAAUAAAGAAAAAUUUAAGCAAAAAGAAAAGAACAUCCAGAAUCCAUUUUUUACAAUCCAUGUCUCACAAUUUAGUAUUACAUUGACUAUGGAGAGAGAGAGAGAGAGAGAGAGAGAGAGAGAGAGAGAGAGAGAGAGAGAGAGAGUAGUAGUAGUAGUAGUACGUACGUCGUCGUCGUUCGUACGUACUAACCGUAAACCGUAACGUACGGUACGGUACGGUAGUAGUCGGUAGAGUAAACGAAACGUAAAACGNNNNNNNNNNNNNNNNNNNNNNNNAGAGAGAGAGAGAGAUAGAGAUUUGAUAUCACGUCUCCUCGGUUGACAUUUAACCCCAAAACAGGGUGACUUGGGGAUUUGCAGGUGAGAAAAAGAAACACCUCAAAGAAAGAAAAAAAAUUGCAAAAAGCUUGUAAAUCAAACAAAGAAAACCCCUCCUGCUCAAUGACUCACAUGC